UACAGAGGUCUCAAGCGUUGUUCGGAUUCAUUGGGCGUAAAGGGUGCGUAGGUGGCGCGCUAAGUCAGGUGUGAAAUUUCGGAGCUCAACUCCGAAACUGCAUUUGAUACUGGCGUGCUUGAGGACUGGAGAGGAGACUGGAAUUCACGGUGUAGCAGUGAAAUGCGUAGAUAUCGUGAGGAAGACCAGUGGCGAAGGCGGGUCUCUGGACAGAUCCUGACACUGAGGCACGAAGGCCAGGGGAGCAAACGGG
rnacentral:rRNA from 1 species